rnacentral:lncRNA from 1 species
AAAGUUACACAAUAGUUUCCGGUGUAGAAACUAUUGUGAGAAAAUUAAUUGAAUGCCUAAAAAAUUAAGCUAACAAAGAAAAGAAAAUAAAAUGCUAAGAAAAUAAAAAUUGCUGAGAAAAUGGAAUGAACAAUAGUUUCCGGUGUAGAAACUAUUGUGAGAAAAUUAAUUGAAUGCCUAAAAAAUUAAGCUAACAAAGAAAAGAAAAUAAAAUGCUAAGAAAAUAAAAAUUGCUGAGAAAAUGGAAUGCUGGAAAAUGUAUUGCUGUAAAAACUUG